UUUUUGGCAUUAGGGUUAAAAUCACUGUCCAAAACCUUUGCAGGAACUCUUUUCCAACCUUUUGGAGUUGGUUACACCAACAAAAAUGUAAAAUGAAAAAAAAAUAUAUUUUGGUUGUUCGGGGUUCCUAAAAGUAAUACCGGGGUAAUUAGGUUAUGGGGCUAUGGUAAGGUUUAAGGUUUUUGGCGUUAGGGUUAAAAUCACUGUCCAAAACCUUUGUAGGAACUCUUUUUCAACCUUUUGGAGUUAGUUAGACCAAAAAGUAUGAAAAAAGAAAAAAAUAUUAUUGGGGGUUUUCGGGCUCCCUGAAAGUAAUACCCGGGUAUUAGGUUUUGGGGCUAUGGUAAGGUUUAAGUUUUUUGGCGUUAGGGUUAAAAUCACUGUCCAAAACCUUUGUAGGAACUCCUUUCCAACCUUUUGGAGUUAGUUAGACCAAAAAAAAAUGAAAAAUUAAAAAACAAUAUUUGGGGUUUUCGGGGUUCCUGAAUGUAAUACCCGGGUAUUAGAUUUUAAGGCUGGGGUAAGGUUUAAGGUUUUUGGCGUUAGGGUUAAAAUCACUGUCCAAAACCUUUGUAAGAACUCUUUUCCAACCUUUUGGAGUUAGUUAGACCAAAAAAUAUGAAAAAAGAAAAAAAUAUUAUUGGGGGUUUUCGGGCUCCCUGAAAGUAAUACCCGGGUAUUAGGUUUUGGGGCUAUGGUAAGGUUUAAGUUUUUUGGCGUUAGGGUUAAAAUCACUGUCCAAAACCUUUGUAGGAACUCUUUUCCAACCUUUUGGAGUUGGUUACACCAACAAAAAUGUAAAAUGAAGAAAAAAAUAUUUGGGGUGUUCAGGCUUCCUGAAGGUAAUACCCGGGUAUUAGAUUUCAAGGCUAGGGUAAGGUUUAAGGUUUUUGGCGUUAGGGUUAAAAUCACUGUCCAAAACCUUUGUAGGAACUCUUUUCCAACCUUUUGGAGUUAGUUAGACCAAAAAAUAUGAAAAAAGAAAAAAAUAUUAUUGGGGGUUUUCGGGCUCCCUGAAAGUAAUACCCGGGUAUUAGGUUUUGGGGCUAUGGUAAGGUUUAAGUUUUUUGGCGUUAGGGUUAAAAUCACUGUCCAAAACCUUUGUAGGAACUCUUUUCCAACCUUUUGGAGUUGGUUACACCAACAAAAAUGUAAAAUGAAGAAAAAAAUAUUUGGGGUGUUCAGGCUUCCUGAAGGUAAUACCCGGGUAUUAGAUUUCAAGGCUAGGGUAAGGUUUAAGGUUUUUGGCGUUAGGGUAAAAAUCACUGUCCAAAACCUUUGUAGGAACUCUUUUCCAACCUUUUGGAGUUAGUUAGACCAAAAAAUAUGAAAAAAGAAAAAAAUAUUAUUGGGGGUUUUCGGGCUCCCUGAAAGUAAUAGACGUGUAUUAGGUUUUGGGACUAGGGAAAGGUUUAAGGGUUUUGGCGUUAGGGUUAAAAUCACUGUCCAAAACCUUUGUAGGAACUCUUUUCCAACCUUUUGGAGUUAGUUAGACCAAAAAAAAAUGAAAAAUUAAAAAAAAUAUAUUUGGGGUGUUCAGGCUUCCUAAAAGUAAUACCCGGGUAUUAGGUUAUGGGGCUAUGGUAAGGUUUAAGGUUUUUGGCGUUAGGGUUAAAAUCACUGUCCAAAACCUUUGUAGGAACUCUUUUUCAACCUUUUGGAGUUAGUUAGACCAAAAAAAAAAUGAAAAAUGAAAAAAAAAAUAUUUGGGGUUUACGGGCUUCUUGAAUGUAAUACCCGGGUAUUAGAUUUUAAGGCCAGGGAAAGGUUUAAGUUUUUUGGCGUUAGGGUUAAAAUCACUGUCCAAAACCUUUGUAGGAACUCUUUUCCAAACUUUUGGAGUUAGUUAGACCAAAAAAAAAAAGAAAAAUGAAAAAAAAAUAUUUGGGGUGUUCAGGCUUCCUAAAAGUAAUACCCAGGUAUUAGGUUAUGGGGCUAUGGUAAGGUUUAACGUUUUGGCGUUAGGUUUAAAAUCACUGUCCAAAACCUUUGUAGGAACUCUUUAACAACCUUUUGGAUUUAGUUAGACCAAAAAAAAAUGAAAAAUUAAAAAAAAUAUAUUUGGGGUGUUCAGGCUUCCUAAAAGUAAUACCCGGGUAUUAGGUUAUGGGGCUAUGGUAAGGUUUAAGGUUUUUGGCGUUAGGGUUAAAAUCACUGUCCAAA